AUUUAAAUAGCUUAAUGUAGAGCAUAACAUUGAAGGUGUUAGGGUGGUGUUUAAUACCUUUGAGUA
rnacentral:tRNA from 1 species